UUUUCCUACGGGAGGCAGCAGUGGGGAAUAUUGCACAAUGGGGGGAACCCUGAUGCAGCGACGCCGCGUGGGUGAAGAAGUCAUUCGUGACGUAAAGCCCUAUCAGCAGGGAAGAAAAUGACGGUACCUGACUAAGAAGCACCGGCUAAAUACGUGCCAGCAGCCGCGGUAAUACGUAUGGUGCAAGCGUUAUCCGGAUUUACUGGGUGUAAAGGGAGCGCAGGCGGCACGGCAAGCCUGAUGUGAAAGCCCGCGGCCCAACCGCGGGACUGCAUUGGGAACUACCGGGCUGGAGUGCCGGAGAG
rnacentral:rRNA from 1 species